rnacentral:rRNA from 1 species
AGCGGCAGUAGGGUGCCAUCAAGAGGUGUAUUUGGAAAUAUCCCUAAUACAGGAUCACUUGGAUCCGUCGGC